ACGGGGGGAGCAAGCGUUGUUCGGAUUUACUGGGCGUAAAGGGCGGGUAGGCGGCCACCGCAAGUCAGUUGUGAAAUCUCUGGGCUUAACCCAGAAAGGUCGACUGAUACUGCGGGGCUAGAGUGCAGAAGGGGCAACUGGAAUUCCCGGUGUAGCGGUGGAAUGCGUAGAGAUCGGGAAGAACAUCAGUGGCGAAGGCGGCCUGCUGGGCUGUUGCUGACGCUGAGGCGCGACAGCGUGGGGAGCAAACAGGA
rnacentral:rRNA from 1 species